CUCGGUGGGACCAUGUAUUCACGGCGCAUGUCAGGACCAAUUCCAUGGAUUCAUCUGUCACUGUGAUCUGUUCCACGGGGGAGAGACCUGUCAUCAACCUAACAUUGUCAUUUUAGCAGUUAUAACAGCUUUUAUUUGUUUGGCGUUGACAACGUUUGCCAUUGCAAUCAUAUUUAAAUCACGCGGCAAAAGUUAUCACGAUCAAGAGAAUGAUUUCAUUCUGCACUUUGAAGAUGCACCUUUGGGUCAAGCAAAAAAGAGAUACUUUCAUCUCAUGAGAUCGUGAAUGAUUCACGAGAAUCGUUAGCUGGUCAUACGUAUUGGUUUCUCGUAUGUUUGCUUCAUUACGAACUCCAAUAAAUUACAUUUUUAUAUGUACUGAAAUAUUCAUGUUUUAUUAAAUAAAAUAAUUUUGUAGUUUAGAAUCAACUAGAUUUAUAUUUAUUCAAAAUACAAACAGCCUAUUUUUUCAUAACUUGGUUGUUUCGCAACCUCAAUUGUAUGAAGAUCUAGUGCAAAUAACAUACAGUUUAUUUUAUAAUUAAAAAAAAACCACUGAAAAUAUUUUGAUUAGCAAGAGACCUGACAGAAAUCUAUUUCAUAGACUUGUCUUCCAUCAAUGCUGUCCCAUGUAAAAUAGCUGUUCAUAUAACAGUGCUCGGUCAUUGUAGUGGACGUUCUUG